rnacentral:tRNA from 1 species
GCGAGAUUAGUACAGUGGUAGUAUAUCGGCUUCCCAAGCCGAGGACGCCAGUUCGAUCCUGGUAUCUCGCU